UUUAUAGUAAUAAAAUUAAACUCUGUAUCACAUAAAUAUUUUUAAAAAAUGAAUUGUAGCAUUAAGUAUUAACCUGUAUUGUUAGGGCUAUAAAGGAAUAAAAGGCUCUGUUACAUAUCUAUUUCUCCGUAUACUACUGCAUGUCAUGUUGUUUCUUGUUUUUCUUGGCUGAAGAUCAGAUUAAAUUGACUAGGCUUGUUUGCUGUUUGCCCCUUCAUGCUCACAUUUUAAAAAUGAUUUAUCCCCACCUAAUAAAAUUUCUUGUAGAUCUGAUUUCUUUAGUGAUCGGUCUUUCAGCCCACCUAUGUCUUCAUUGUCAGCAUAUUUAGUUACAGCUUUCUCUUUAGUUAUCUAUGUGUGGCUGUCAUUCAACAAUUAUUGUCCACAAGAUUUGUUCUUUUUUUUUUUUUUUUUUCCUUUGGAAGAGCAGAAUAUAUACAUUUAUCUUUAUCUUUUUGACAAACAGAAUAAAAGCAACUAACACUAUUUGCAGAGCCAACCCACUUAAAUGAGGUACUACUAUGAACUAAAUUCUCAUUUUCCCCCACAAGAUGUGAUUUAUGCAAAUAAUUUCCUCCUGCAUAUACCCACAAUCAUUUUCUCAUUUUUUAGCUCAUAAUUAAUAAUAGGUGCUAAGUAAAUUACUGCUUCAUAGUAUAAUUCUGUAAUUUGCAUGAUUCAUUUAAGGAAAAAGUAUACUAUAGUCCCAGCCAAAUAAAGCUUAGAAUUUGUGAAAAAUCACUUUGUGUUAUCAAAAUAAGUUUAUCUAAAAUCUAAAGAAUUAUUUCAGGGCCGGGCGCUAUGGCUCAGGCUUGUAAUCCUAGCACUUUGGGAGGCCGAGGUGGGUGGAUCACCUGAGGUCAGGAGUUCAAGACCAUCCUGGCCAUCAUGGUGAAACCCCAUCUUUAUUUAAAAAAAAAGAAAAAGAAAAAGAAAAAAAGAAAAAGAAUUAUUUCAGGUUAAGCUGUGGCCAAAUGUAUCAUUCUGUGGUACGUCUGGAUGUGCAAAAUCAAAAGGAGAGUUAGAAACAGUUUGAAUUGUAUUUUUAUUGAAAUUGGAACUUGAAAAGAUAAUGCUGGGAUUUUAGUAUGUUUAUAUAUUUUGAUUGUCCAAUACAGAUCUACAAUGAACAUUUUA